ensembl:lncRNA
UUCAAUUUAAGCUGUUUUUAGACUAACAACAAAGUUUUGAGUUCAGAAUAUUACAGGCUGUUUUUAUAUUAUGGUGGAGAUUUUGUGGUUAUCGUCGAGCAGAAGAAUGGAACAAACAUACUAUUCAGGUCAUUAGCAAAUCACUUUUCAUUUGCUUAUACCACACAAUGGUCUUUACGAUCAACUUAAAGUACAAUGAUUUUUUUUGUUUUUGUUUUGUGUGUUUAAAGAAAGUGCAUUUUAUUUACUGCAGAUAAAACAAUCAGCUGUUUUUAAAGUCAAGACAGUCAUGGUCAUUUUCAGUGAGUACUGAAAACUAAUCGGCUUGUAGAAUAUCUCAGCUUUGUUCAGAUUAGUGGCAAAUUUGUAUCUGGUGUAUCUGAUUUAAAUCUCUUUAGUAUUUUGUAGUUGUAAAAAAAAGAAUACUGUGUUACCUAAGAACUGGAAAGAAAUGAAAAAAGAAAUAGAGAGGCUGGAUGGGAAAAUGAAAGAAUAUAUUGGAAAAGAUGCUUGUGAUGGUGUGUGAGAGUGUAUGUCAGUGAGCUCCAGAAUCUGACAAGUCAUGAGAGAUUGGCGUGAGGGACAGGAGAUGAGAGAAAUGGAUGGAGAGAUAUUAGAAGCUAAAGUAGAAGAGACACGAGUACAUGCACUCAAGCAUGAGAAUCUCGCUCUCGUUUCAGUUCAUUCAGUUCAUUUAUGACAGUGGCAGAAAUAACAUUCUCAGAAGUUCUCAGAAAUACCAUAAGCGACAGUCAGACAUUAGAUCUCCAGAUAAAGCUGGAAUUAAACUCUUGCAGAAGAACAGGAAGCUUAGUUCUGCUUCUGUCUGUGAGCCGACCCACUUAAGAUGGGACCACACAUACAAAGACAGUCAGAGCGAGCAUGAGACAUCACGCAUGGAUGUUAUGAUACACCAAAUGAGUCUCUGGGAGCGGCUGAGCGGUAGCUAAAACUGGGUCUGUGACAUCAUAAUCUUCUCAAAUUAAAGGAACACUUCUAUUUUGAAAUGUCACGCAUUUGUUCACCCUCAUCUCUAUGAUUAGGAUCUUUCUGUUGUCGCACACAAAAUGAGAUGCUUUAGAUAAUGUGAAUG